CGGCCGCAUCCCGUUGUAAAACCGGUUCCCGUACGAUUACCGAAGUUAAGCAAUGUCGAUCUUGGUCAAAACCUAGAUGGGGGACCGUUUGGGAAUACCAGGUGCUGUAA